rnacentral:lncRNA from 1 species
ACAUGACAAGUCAGCAGAGACAAUCGAACAAGGAGGAAUGGAAACCAAUCAGAAGAAAGAGAUAGCUACAACUAGAAAGAAACCAAUUUUUCUCCAGGAGAUGACAUGGCCUCUCCCAAUCUCAUGACACCACAUUGGCAGAUCUUAUGGUGACUAUUCCAGAAUAUCAUAUAGUUGAUAAAGGGGAGCUCCUAUUUUCACUCAGAUAGAUCUCGUGUCUACUAGGUAGAACUAAUAAUUAUACAGUGACCAACACCAUGAACUCUCAGGUAGACCACAUCAUAACCAUUCAGAUAUACUACACUAUGACCUCUCAGGUAGACCACUUCAUGACUACUCAGGUAGACCACAUCAAAACCAUGCAGUUAGGCUUCAACAUGGCCACUCAGAUAGAUAUCGUCUUACCCAUACAGAGAGAGUUCUUCCUAGCCACUCAGGGAUAGCUCAUCCUGGCCACACAGAGAGAGAUAAUCAAGGCCAAAGAGGGAGAGCUCAUGAUAACCAUACAGGGUUAGCUCAUCACAACCAUGACGGCAAAUCUCAUCAUGAACACUCAGGGAGACCUUACCAUGGCCAUGCAAUGAGAGCUCAUAACAACCAGUCAUGGAGACAUCUUAACCAGUCAUGGAGAGGUCAGAACAACCAGUCACAGAGAGGUCAUGACAACCAGUCACAGAGAGGUCAUGACAACCAGUCAUGUAGAAGUCAUAAUAAUCAGUCAUGGAGAGCUCAUAACACCCGGUCACGGAGAGAUCGUUAUGACACCUCAUUGAGAUCUAGUAGCAUCCAGUCAUGGAUGCUUCAUGAAGGAGAAAGAUACCAUGGUCCAAGAGGAAGAAAUGGAACCAGGAACUGAGCCAGAAAUUGACAG